rnacentral:rRNA from 1 species
UACAGAGGGUGCGAGCGUUGUCCGGAAUCACUGGGCGUAAAGGGCGCGUAGGUGGCGCGACAAGUCAGUGGUGAAAGUUCGACGCUCAACGUCGAAUCGGCCACUGAUACUGUUGGGCUUGAGCACUGUAGAGGCUAAUGGAAUUCCGGGUGUAGCGGUGGAAUGCGUAGAGAUCCGGAAGAACACCAAUGGCGAAGGCAGCCUUCUGGGCCAACACUGACGCUCAUGCACGAAAGCGUGGGGAGCGAACAGG